rnacentral:rRNA from 3 species
AAUCCAUAGGUUAAUGAGGCGAACCGGGGGAACUGAAACAUCUAAGUACCCCGAGGAAAAGAAAUCAACCGAGAUUCCCCCAGUAGCGGCGAGCGAACGGGGAGGAGCCCAGAGCCUGAAUCAGCAUGUGUGUUAGUGGAAGCGUCUGGAAAGGCGCGCGAUACAGGGUGACAGCCCCGUACACAAAAGCGCAUGUGCUGUGAGCUCGAUGAGUAGGGCGGGACACGUGGUAUCCUGUCUGAAUAUGGGGGGACCAUCCUCCAAGGCUAAAUACUCCUGACUGACCGAUAGUGAACCAGUACCGUGAGGGAAAGGCGAAAAGAACCCCGGCGAGGGGAGUGAAAAAGAACCUGAAACCGUGUACGUACAAGCAGUGGGAGCACAGGUUUACCUGUGUGACUGCGUACCUUUUGUAUAAUGGGUCAGCGACUUAUAUUCUGUAGCAAGGUUAACCGAAUAGGGGAGCCGGAGGGAAACCGAGUCUUAACCGGGCGUUAAGUUGCAGGGUAUAGACCCGAAACCCGGUGAUCUAGCCAUGGGCAGGUUGAAGGUUGGGUAACACUAACUGGAGGACCGAACCGACUAAUGUUGAAAAAUUAGCGGAUGACCUGUGGCUGGGGGUGAAAGGCCAAUCAAACCGGGAGAUAGCUGGUUCUCCCCGAAAGCUAUUUAGGUAGCGCCUCGUGAAUUCAUCUCCGGGGGUAGAGCACUGUUUCGGCUAGGGGGCCAUCCCGGCUUACCAACCCGAUGCAAACUGCGAAUACCGGAGAAUGUUAUCACGGGAGACACACGGCGGGUGCUAACGUCCGUCGUGAAGAGGGAAACAACCCAGACCGCCAGCUAAGGUCCCAAAGUCAUGGUUAAGUGGGAAACGAUGUGGGAAGGCCCAGACAGCCAGGAUGUUGGCUUAGAAGCAGCCAUCAUUUAAAGAAAGCGUAAUAGCUCACUGGUCGAGUCGGCCUGCGCGGAAGAUGUAACGGGGCUAAACCAU